GGAAGCUGACUGUGUAACUCCUAGUUGAGUGUGAAGACCUGAGGUAUCAGGGGUAGGGGUUGCUCUGCUUGUGUAAGUCCCAUAGUGUGAAGGCCAGAGAACCAAGAGAUGGUCAAGAAGAGAGAGUAAGUGUCCAAUGUCCCAGCUCAAGAAGAGAGAGACUGAAGAGGAGCAGUAGUCCUCAUCCCAGAGCACCAGAUGUUGGAAGGUGACUAAGCGGUAUCUGGGGCAAGACCAACCCCGCCUCUUCCUUCUCCUUCUCGACCUACUCAAAGUAAAGAUGAGGAUGAAGACCCUUAAGAUGAUCCACUCCCACUUAAUGAAUGAAACUUUUGUGGAUAGCUAAGUUACUGCUAGCCAUCUGAUUAUAGCAAUGGCUUCCAGGAGCAUCACGACCUGUGCAGACUCCCCAGCAUCAUAACAGGAAGGUCCCACGAUCACGAGCACAUUGCCUUCAGCAUCCAGCACUGAAGAUGGUGAAUUGCACUCUGAAGAGCUUCCUAAGCUUGUAAGAAAGUGAUUCUGAAAAGCUCAACAUUUUGGUAGAAUGGAGAGAUUUGACAUUGCUUCUGCUCCAAAAGCAAAAGACUUGGGAAGGGCACCCUGGGAGUUGAGAACAUCCACCACAGAGAGGCCUGGCGUAAAGGAGAUGGGACUCACACCCAAGAGGAUGCAUUUCCAUACACCCAUUUCUGAAAUAUGAAGAGGUGUCCAGUCUGUUUGAUUCAUAGCUGCCUGUUCCACAACUGCAGAUACAGUAAUUGAUAACCGAGACCAAGUUCUCAUCCCCAUCUCCCAGGGCUGGAACUGGGGCUGUGUUUGGUUCUCAUAAGAUCAGUUCCAGUUUUAGAAACUGAGUAAAUUGUGGAGUAAAUAUUGCCAAGUGAUGGCUUUCUGCUGUAGGCGUGGGUCGCUGUUGGCCAUUUGCCUCAGCAUAUCACCAGCAAUGCACCUCAUUGCAUCACUGCAUUUCCAAUUACACCUCAAAGCACCACUGGUCCCCUGUCCACCCUCUGCCCUGCAGAGGUGGGUGUUCAGGGAGACAGAUCCAAAAUCUGGGCUCAGAAGAUGGAAAUGCCAACUGCUCUCAAUUUGAGAGUGGGGAUGAGACUUUUUGACUCAACUCUGGUUAAUUCAGCCAUGCUGUCAGAGCUGCUUUGAUGCAAGGACAUCUGAAUGCUAUCUGAAUGCUG
rnacentral:lncRNA from 10 species